rnacentral:rRNA from 1 species
UACGUAGGGUGCAAGCGUUGUCCGGAAUUAUUGGGCGUAAAGAGCUCGUAGGCGGUCUGUCACGUCGGCUGUGAAAACCCGAGGCUCAACCUCGGGCCUGCAGUCGAUACGGGCAAACUAGAGUACUGCAGGGGAGACUGGAAUUCCUGGUGUAGCGGUGGAAUGCGCAGAUAUCAGGAGGAACACCGAUGGCGAAGGCAGGUCACUGGGCCGCAACUGACGCUGAGGAGCGAAAGCAUGGGGAGCGAACAGG